GUCUUCAAAGCCUCUUCAAACUCACUAGUUUCAGCAUCAGGGAAAGACAGGGACAAAGACAAAAAGACAGGAGUAGGAGUCACCUGACAGGAUCAAACACAUCCACCACCCAGUGUUUAUAAGAUGAAGCAUAUGCGAUCAUUUCCAUAUUACAAAAUCCUUUUGAAGGUUCUCUAAAGAGGCAGAAUCAGAUGUUUGCUCAGGAACACUCAGAGAACCCUCAGUCUGUUUGAUGUCAGCAAACAGGACACUUUAAAGUGGAAAUGUACAAAUGUACGAUAGAAGCAGUAUUGAUGUAGGAAAUAUCAGUAUCCCAUAUGGGCAUCAAAAAGAGCAUAAAUAAAUUGCACGAAAAUGCAAAGGCUUGAUUGGAGAAAAAACCUUAUUUAUUUUUGUAAUACUGUUGUUUAAUGUGAACAGAAUAAAUGGAUUGAAUUUUCACCAAUGGAAAGUAGAAUGAUGGUUUACUGGUUUUAAGCAAGCCUAAAUCAGAUCACUAACAAAUAUAAAUAUGCAAUCAUCCCUGGCAAAGUAAGUGAGUUCAAGCAUUUUUUAAUUAUUCAUCGGCAUUAAGAUAAUCUAAUGGUUUAAGUGCUAAAUACAGCCGAUUUUGUUAAAGCACAGUAUUGACAUUUUUCUUCAUCAGCUUUUUUUCCCCUUGAGAUACUAUAAGCUACAGGCCAGAUCUCGAGUGAAAAGUUAAGCAUGAGGCUUUGUUUUUCUGUAGUACAGAACAAUAAAUGAUAUUUAUGAAUAAAACAUCAGUUAACAGGUUUUCCAUCAGGCUGUACCGACUGUGACUCUAAACAGAGCACGGGAAGGAUGACAGAGCUGCCUGACAGAGAAGAUUAAGCCCAGGUGUGUCUGUAGCAGCGGAUGCACAGAUGGUCAGCUUUUAAUCCUCGUAGCAUAGGGAAAUAAAAGACCAUCAACACACUCAUCCAUUUUUUAGUUCUGUGUUUUGUGUAAUCUUCUAACAGCUUGAAUGAAUUAGCUUGGCAUGCAGUGUCUCCGAAAACUACAGACUGCACAAUUUACAUGUCUUUCCAUUUCUCAUUUUUUUCUGCAUGCUGCAGAUUUACAGGUCAGAAUGUUUCUCUGCUAUGAUAGCGCCCACUGUACAGUUAUUGGCACACCUGGUAAAAACAUGUAAAAAGCCAUUAAGUAAAUGUAUCAUUUAUUUCUGUAGUAUUGAUGCCUCUCUCAGAUAACUGGGGAUUUUUUUUUUUUUUUACCUCCUCUACCAUUCUCCUAACUGUGUUGAUGAAAUAAACGUGUGUUCUUGUCCA